CGGGCUGUGGCUCAGCUUGGUAGAGCGCCACGUUCGGGACGUGGAGGCCGUGGGUUCGAAUCCCACCAGCCCGA
rnacentral:tRNA from 1 species